GCGAUCAUACCAGCACUAAUGCACCGGAUCCCAUCAGAACUCCGAAGUUAAGCUUGCUUUGGCGAGAGCAGUACUAGGAUGGGUGACCCCCUGGGAAGUUCUCGUGUUGCACCU
rnacentral:rRNA from 1 species